UACGUAGGGCGCAAGCGUUAUCCGGAAUUAUUGGGCGUAAAGAGCUCGUAGGCGGUUUGUCGCGUCUGCCGUGAAAGACCGGGGCUCAACUCCGGUUCUGCAGUGGGUACGGGCAGACUAGAGUGCAGUAGGGGAGACUGGAAUUCCUGGUGUAGCGGUGGAAUGCGCAGAUAUCAGGAGGAACACCGGUGGCGAAGGCGGGUCUCUGGGCUGUAACUGACGCUGAGGAGCGAAAGCGUGGGUAGCGAACAGG
rnacentral:rRNA from 1 species